rnacentral:rRNA from 1 species
UCCUACGGGAGGCAGCAGUGGGGAAUAUUGCACAAUGGGGGAAACCCUGAUGCAGCAACGCCGCGUGAGUGAUGACGGUCUUCGGAUUGUAAAGCUCUGUCUUUAGGGACGAUAAUGACGGUACCUAAGGAGGAAGCCACGGCUAACUACGUGCCAGCAGCCGCGGUAAUA